GAGGUUUAACACUUCAUGACUGACAGCUGCCCUUCAUCACAACAGACUCCAAACAAACAUGACUUUGAUCAGCCUCAGCAUCUUGCUCCUCAUCCUCACUCAUGAAUCCAGAGGACAAGUGACUGUGACUCAGACACCAGAGCUGAUAUCAGCUUCCUCAGGACAGACAGUCACUAUAAACUGUAAAACCAGCAGCUCUGUGUAUACUGACAGCCAUGGCCCCCGCAUGGCCUGGUACCAGCAGAAACCUGGAGAAGCUAUUAAACUCUUGAUCUAUUAUGCAAGUACCCGUUACUCUGGGAUUCCAUCUCGAUUCAGUGGCAGCGGAUCUAGUACUGACUUCACUCUGACCAUCAGUGGAGUCCAGGCUGAAGAUGCAGGAGAUUAUUACUGUCAGAGUCUCCACUACAUCAGUAGCAGCUGGCUGUUCACUUUCGGCGGCAGUACCAGGCUGGAUGUUGGACGUAACAGAGCCCCCAUCCUGACGGUCCUGCCCCCCUCCAGUGUGGAGGUGUCCAGCAAGAACACGGCCACCCUGAUGUGCCUGGCCAACAGGGGCUUCCCCUCCGACUGGAAGCUGAGCUGGAAGGUGGACGGUAACAGCAAAUACUCAGAGACGAGCCGCGGGCUCCUAGAGAAGGACGGCCUGUCCAGCUGGAGCAGCAGCCUGAGCCUCACUGCGGACGAGUGGAAGAAGGCGGGCUCAGUGGUCUGUGAGGCCCAUCAGGGCUGCCAGGCUCCUGUCACUCAAACGCUGAAGAGGGCCGACUGUUCAGAGUAGAUGAGCUCAGCGUCACCUGUGAUGAGCGGCUGAUUACUGUGUUUUUACCGUGCUGUGCUACACGCUUCAGAUUUACUAACUGAAUAUAUAUUGCGCUUUGCUUGAUCCACGAGUGAAUAUCUUUACUGAUAUUUUAUUAGUUUUUGUGUCGCAUUGUAUUAUCUUGUGUGUUUUAUUCCUGAAUGCUGCAUAGAUAAAUAAAGAUUUUUUCCUGUCUGAUA